CCUCCAGACUGGCAACUGUAACGGAGCAGGAUAUGUCGGCCAAGGUCGCAUGGUCUCCAGCUACCCAUCCAGUUGGCUCCAGGUACUUCUCCAGGUUUCCAAGAGCCUCGUAUAUGGCAUCUCUCGCGUCCGCAUCCACAUUUCUUUUCCCCAGGAAGAAAACCGGAUA